CUUAUGGGCUAUAUGCACGCAUUACUUCCGCGUUUUGUCUAAGGCCGCGGUCCAGCUUCCGGUCUGGGUGAUUUUAAGCGGAGGUAAACAGUAUUAUGGCAGAGUCGUCAAUAUUUACUCGCUGUUUGCGAGUAAAUUAUGGUCAACGAUGUGCAAAUGCUUGUCCCGAUGUGCUCUACAACACCGCAGAGCAAAGCUUGAGAAAGGUUUCAAGUUUUAUGCAUCUUCCUACCUGUGCAAUUAUGAAGGUAACAUUAUGAGAUUCAGAGCUAGAAAAUUUUAUAUGUUACUUCAUCCUGGAGCGGACAUCCGUCAGAAGAUCCAUGCCAUCGUCUGCUAGUUAAUAGCUCCUGCUCUUGUGUGGCUGAGAGUGGGAUAUGCAAACAUUUGGUUGCUUUGCUUUUCCAGACAGCCCAUUACUCU